GACGAACCGAGCAAACGUUAUUCGGAAUCACUGGGCUUAAAGGGCGCGUAGGCGGCAGAUCAAGUCCGGGGUGAAAUCCUCCAGCUCAACUGGAGAAGUGCCUUGGAUACUGAUUUGCUCGAGGGAGGUAGGGGUCGAGGGAACUUCUGGUGGAGCGGUGAAAUGCGUUGAUAUCAGGAGGAACGCCGGUGGCGAAAGCGCUCGACUGGAUCUCUUCUGACGCUGAGGCGCGAAAGCUAGGGGAGCAAACGGG
rnacentral:rRNA from 1 species